GGCCUCGUGGUUCAGUUGGCUAGAGCGUUGGCUGUACUAAAGCCUUCUCCUUGCUGGCUGGGUUCGAAUCCCACCGAGGCCG
rnacentral:tRNA from 1 species